rnacentral:rRNA from 1 species
ACGGGUGAGUAACACGUGGGAACGUACCCUUUGGUUCGGAAUAACGCUGGGAAACUAGCGCUAAUACCGGAUACGCCCUUUUGGGGAAAGGCUUGCUGCCGAAGGAUCGGCCCGCGUCUGAUUAGCUAGUUGGUGGGGUAAUGGCCUACCAAGGCGACGAUCAGUAGCUGGUCUGAGAGGAUGAUCAGCCACACUGGGACUGAGACACGGCCCAGACUCCUACGGGAGGCAGCAGUGGGGAAUAUUGGACAAUGGGCGCAAGCCUGAUCCAGCCAUGCCGCGUGAGUGAUGAAGGCCUUAGGGUUGUAAAGCUCUUUUGUCCGGGACGAUAAUGACGGUACCGGAAGAAUAAGCCCCGGCUAACUUCGUGCCAGCAGCCGCGGUAAUACGAAGGGGGCUAGCGUUGCUCGGAAUCACUGGGCGUAAAGGGCGCGUAGGCGGCCAUUCAAGUCGGGGGCGAAAGCCUGUGGCUCAACCACAGAAUUGCCUUCGAUACUGUUUGGCUUGAGUUUGGUAGAGGUUGGUGGAACUGCGAGUGUAGAGGUGAAAUUCGUAGA